UCGAGGACGAACGCUGGCGGCGUGCUUAACACAUGCAAGUCGAACGGUAAGGCCCUUCGGGGUACACGAGUGGCGAACGGGUGAGUAACACGUGGGUGAUCUGCCCUGCACUUCGGGAUAAGCCUGGGAAACUGGGUCUAAUACCGGAUAGGACCAUGGACUUCACGGUUUGUGGUGGAAAGCUUUUGCGGUGUGGGAUGGGCCCGCGGCCUAUCAGCUUGUUGGUGGGGUAAUGGCCUACCAAGGCGACGACGGGUAGCCGGCCUGAGAGGGUGUCCGGCCACACUGGGACUGAGAUACGGCCCAGACUCCUACGGGAGGCAGCAGUGGGGAAUAUUGCACAAUGGGCGCAAGCCUGAUGCAGCGACGCCGCGUGAGGGAUGACGGCCUUCGGGUUGUAAACCUCUUUCAAUAGGGACGAAGCGCAAGUGACGGUACCUAUAGAAGAAGCACCGGCCAACUACGUG
rnacentral:rRNA from 1 species